CAGUAGGGAAUCUUCCACAAUGGGCGAAAGCCUGAUGGAGCAACGCCGCGUGUGUGAUGAAGGCUUUCGGGUCGUAAAGCACUGUUGUAUGGGAAGAACAGCUAGAAUAGGAAAUGAUUUUAGUUUGACGGUACCAUACCAGAAAGGGACGGCUAAAUACGUGCCAG
rnacentral:rRNA from 1 species